rnacentral:rRNA from 1 species
GAUGAACGCUGGCGGCGUGCCUAACACAUGCAAGUCGAACGGAAAGGCCCUGCUUUUGUGGGGUGCUCGAGUGGCGAACGGGUGAGUAACACGCGAGUAACCUGCCCUUGUAUUUGGGAUAACUUCAGGAAAAUGGGGCUAAUAUCGGAUAUGAGCUCCUGCUCCAUGGUGGGGGUUGGAAAGUUUCGGCGGUUGGGGAUGGACUCGCGGCUUAUCAGCUUGUUGGUGGGGUAGUGGCUUACCAAGGCUUUGACGGGUAGCCGGCCUGAGAGGGUGACCGGCCACAUUGCGACUGAGAUACGGCGCAGACUCCUACGGGAGGCAGCAGUCGGGAAUAUUGCACAGUGGGCGGAAGCCUGAUGCAGCAACGCCGCGUGCGGGAUGACGGCCUUCGGGUUGUAAACCGCUUUCGCCUGUGACGAAGCGUGAGUGACGGUAAUGGGUAAAGAAGCACCGGCUAACUACGUG